GUGGGGAAUUUUGGACAAUGGGCGAAAGCCUGAUCCAGCCAUGCCGCGUGCAGGAUGAAGGCCUUCGGGUUGUAAACUGCUUUUGUACGGAACGAAAAGACUCCUUCUAAUAAAGGGGGUCCAUGACGGUACCGUAAGAAUAAGCACCGGCUAACUACGUGCCAGCAGCCGCGGUAAUACGUAGGGUGCAAGCGUUCAUCGGAAUUACUGGGCGUAAAGCGUGCGCAGGCGGUUAUAAAAGACAGAUGUGAAAUCCCCGGGCUCAACCUGGGAACUGCAUUUGUGACUGUAUAGCUAGAGUACGGUAGAGGGGGAUGGAAUUCCGCGUGUAGCAGUGAAAUGCGUAGAUAUGCGGAGGAACACCGAUGGCGAAGGCAAUCCCCUGGACCUGUACUGACGCUCAUGCACGAAAGCGUGGGGAGCAAACAGGAUUAGAAACCCUAGUAGUCC
rnacentral:rRNA from 1 species